AGCAGUAGCCACGGUAAUACGUAGGGUGCGAGCGUUGUCCGGAAUUAUUGGGCGUAAAGAGCUCGUAGGCGGUCUGUCGCGUCUGCUGUGAAAACCCGAGGCUCAACCUCGGGCUUGCAGUGGGUACGGGCAGACUAGAGUGCGGUAGGGGAGAAUGGAACUCCUGGUGUAGCGGUGGAAUGCGCAGAUAUCAGGAAGAACACCGAUGGCGAAGGCAGUUCUCUGGGCCGUAACUGACGCUGAGGAGCGAAAGCGUGGGGAGCGAACAGGAUUAGAUACCCGAGUAGUCCCUGUCUCUUAUAC
rnacentral:rRNA from 1 species